rnacentral:rRNA from 1 species
GAUGAACGCUGACAGAAUGCUUAACACAUGCAAGUCGAUGGGGAAGUGGUGCUUGCACCCUGGUAACCAUGGCGGACGGGUGAGUAACGCGUAAGGAACUUGCCUGCGGGACUGGGAUAACAGCAGGAAACUGCUGAUAAUACCGGAUAAGGUCAUUAAGCUGCAUAGCUUAGUGAUGAAAGGAGACGCCUGCGGAGAGCCUUGCGUCCUAUUAGCUAGUUGGAGGGGUAACGGCCCACCAAGGCGAAGAUAGGUAGCCGGCCUGAGAGGGUGGACGGCCACAAGGGGACUGAGAUACGGCCCUUACUCCUACGGGAGGCAGCAGUGGGGAAUAUUGGACAAUGGGGGCAACCCUGAUCCAGCAAUUCUGUGUGCACGAAGACGGUUUUCGGAUUGUAAAGUGCUUUCAGCAGGGAAGAAGGAAGUGACGGUACCUGCAGAAGGAGCGACGGCUAAAUACGUG